CUACGGGGCGCAGCAGUGAGGAAUAUUGCACAAUGGGGGGAACCCUGAUGCAGCAACGCCGCGUGGAGGAUGACGCAUUUCGGUGUGUAAACUCCUUUUAUAUGUCAAGAAAAUGACGGUAGCAUAUGAAUAAGCACCGGCUAACUCCGUGCCAGCAGGCCGCGGUAAUACGGAGGGUGCAAGCGUUACUCGGAAUCACUGGGCGUAAGGACGCGUAGGCGGGUUGGAAAGUCAGGUGUGAAAUCCUACAGCUUAACUGUAGAACUGCACUUGAAACUUCUAAUCUAGAGUAUGGGAGGGGGAGAUGGAAUUAGUGGUGUAGGGGUAAAAUCCGUAGAUAUCACUAGGAAUACCUAAAGCGAAGGCGAUCUCCUGGAACAUUACUGACGCUAAGGCGUGAAAGCGUGGGGAGCAAACAGGAUUAGAUACCCGUGUAGUC
rnacentral:rRNA from 1 species